CACCAGACUCCUACGGGAGGCAGCAGUGGGGAAUAUUGCACAAUGGGGGAAACCCUGAUGCAGCGACGCCGCGUGAGUGAAGAAGUAUUUCGGUAUGUAAAGCUCUAUCAGCAGGGAAGAAAAUGACGGUACCUGACUAAGAAGCCCCGGCUAACUACGUGCCAGCAGCCGCGGUAAUACGUAGGGGGCAAGCGUUAUCCGGAUUUACUGGGUGUAAAGGGAGCGUAGACGGCAUGGCAAGUCAGAUGUGAAAGCCCCGGGCUCAACCCCGGGACUGCAUUUGAAACUGUCAGGCUGGAGUGCAGGAGAGGUAAGUGGAAUUCCUAGUGUAGCGGUGAAAUGCGUAGAUAUUAGGAGGAACACCAGUGGCGAAGGCGGCUUACUGGACUGUAACUGACGUUGAGGCUCGAAAGCGUGGGGAGCAAACAGGAUUAGAUACCCCCGUA
rnacentral:rRNA from 1 species